UGGGGGAUAUUGCACAAUGGGCGAAAGCCUGAUGCAGCGACGCCGCGUGGGGGAUGAAGGCUUUCGGGUUGUAAACCUCUUUCGCUAUCGAACAAGGCCCGCUUAGGGUGGGUUGAGGGUAGGUGGAGAAGAAGCGCCGGCUAACUACGUGCCAGCAGCCGCGGUAAUACGUAGGGCGCGAGCGUUGUCCGGAAUUAUUGGGCGUAAAGCGCACGCAGGCGGUCUGUCAAGUCGGAUGUGAAAUCCCCGGGCUCAACCUGGGAACUGCAUUCGAAACUGGCAGGCUAGAGUCUUGUAGAGGGGGGUAGAAUUCCAGGUGUAGCGGUGAAAUGCGUAGAGAUCUGGAGGAAUACCGGUGGCGAAGGCGGCCCCCUGGACAAAGACUGACGCUCAGGUGCGAAAGCGUGGGGAGCAAACAGG
rnacentral:rRNA from 1 species